GACGAACGCUGGCGGCGUGCUUAACACAUGCAAGUCGAACGGAAAGGCCCUGCUUUUGUGGGGUGCUCGAGUGGCGAACGGGUGAGUAACACGUGAGUAACCUGCCCUUGACUUUGGGAUAACUUCAGGAAACUGGGGCUAAUACCGGAUAGGAGCUCCUGCUGCAUGGUGGGGGUUGGAAAGGUUCGGCGGUUGGGGAUGGACUCGCGGCUCAUCAGCUUGUUGGUGGGGUAGUGGCUUACCAAGGCUUUGACGGGUAGCCGGCCUGAGAGGGUGACCGGCCACAUUGGGACUGAGAUACGGCCCAGACUCCUACGGGAGGCAGCAGUGGGGAAUAUUGCACAAUGGGCGGAAGCCUGAUGCAGCAACGCCGCGUGCGGGAUGACGGCCUUCGGGUUGUAAACCGCUUUCGCCUGUGACGAAGCGUGAGUGACGGUAAUGGGUAAAGAAGCACCGGCUAACUACGUG
rnacentral:rRNA from 1 species